CUGCAGCCAAUUAAGCCGACUGAGUUCCUUUCCUCAUGGGGGCCCAGUGUGCAAUGGCUGCAAACAGCAGCUUCCCUGGCAGUGAUGCAGCCUGUUUGUUUGCUGCAUGGGUUGCUCUAAAGGACCUUGGAGACAGUC
rnacentral:snoRNA from 1 species